CACAACCUGGUUGAUCCUGCCAGUAGUCAUAUGCUUGUCUCAAAGAUUAAGCCAUGCAUGUCUCAGUAUAAGCUUCUAUAUGGCGAAACUGCGAAUGGCUCAUUAAAACAGUUAUAGUUUAUUUGAUGGUCAAAUCACUACUUGGAUAACCGUGGUAAUUCUAGAGCUAAUACAUGCGUACAAGCCCGACUUCGC
rnacentral:rRNA from 1 species